rnacentral:lncRNA from 1 species
ACAAUGCACCGCUCCCCGUUCUUAGUUCCUCUCUUCCCCUUUCUCCAGCCCCAGCCUCCCUCCCCCCACCCCAGGGCCAGAGUGCGCCCCCUGCCCCAGGAGGCGGCGGCUGCUGGACCCCCGGACGUGUCUGUGCCGCUGCAGCCAGACCCCGGAGAGCUGCAGGCAACGGGGGAAACGCCUGAACCAGCAGAGCUGCAGAUGCGAGUCCCUGAGACGGUGAAGGGCCGAAGCCCCGUCUGCCCUUCCGGAGACAGCGACGAGUUGGAGGAAACGGAAGAAAUCAUGCUCAUUCAAUAGUUGUGUGACGGAGAGGAGAAGACAAGGUCGGGGUCGACCUCGGAGGACAAUAAGCGCAGGGAGGUGUGUGUGCUCACGCAGAAAGCCACACACCUCUUUUGUCUCCCUCUCAAGCUCUCUCGAAGCCAUCGCUGCAAGUAGUCUUACGUGAAUAUAUAUGUGUGUGUUAUCGAGUCCCAUCGCAAAGCUUUUCGGCAAACCGCUGCUAAACCGGACCAUGUUUCCACGGCACCCCGACCCCUUAAGGGUAAACGGAGGGACACGGAUCAGAGACUGAGAACGGAGGGUCCGGGAGAACGAGGUCACGGAUGCGCGAGACCCGACGCGCAGGUCGGUCUCGCGAGAGGGUCGUCCGACAUCGUGGACCUGCGCGCGAGGACCCAGGUGACUGAUAUUACCCAGGUCAGAGUGGCUGGGCGCACCGGCCCGUGUCCCGUUGAGCGGCUGCUGCGGACCCCCGUUGAAAUCCCCCUGCCGACGGCGGGCCGAAGGAGGUAGAAGCAGCUCCUGGAGAGCGCGGCGUGGAAAAAGCGGGGCCUCUUUAAAACGAGCAAUUGCCAAAUUCUUUAAGCCACCGCUUCAUAAUCCACGCCAUCAUAUCGCCGUUCCUACCGAGCAAUGAUCGGUUUUUGUCCAAGUGGAGGACUUAGCUGCUCGCUCCCGCUCUCCAUCUGAAAGCAGUGUUCGAUUGCUGUAGGAAAAGCAGAGCAUGUAGGAAUCUGCGCCCGCGGUACAACGUAACCCCACUAUGACACCUCUGGAUGAGAAUAAAAAGGGUGUGAAUACUAUGCGAUGGCA